ensembl:lncRNA
UGCUCAAUCAACAAUAUUUUAUUUCCAUAUAAUUCAACACUUAAGAGCAUAAGAACCAUCAUGAUGGGGAGAGUUGCCUGCAGAGGGUCACAGCAAGUCUCAAAAUGGUGACGGGUUUCUCAGCCUUUUAUAGCCUCUAGUAGCCCCCACCUAGUCGUAAAAGCCUAAACAUUCACAUGUUUUCUCUCUUACGGCGCCUAAGUUAUGACCUCGGCUCCCUGUCUUUCUGCUCUCUGUAAGGGUGGGGGUAUGGAAUGUGGUCGUCUCUUCUUCUAUUUUAGACACAAGGUCUUCUGCACCCAACAUUCUCUUCAUGAUUCAGCAGUAUGAAAUGUCAAGAAACAGUGUAACACAUUCAACAGUGUUGAGUAAUGCAGGUCAAUCAAAUAGAUCUAAUGUUUUUCACACUCUUUUAAGUCAGAAGUAUAAUGCAAACUAAAACUACCUACUGAUCACACACUCUAUAUUAAGGGGUAUAAUAUGAUCUACAGCAGUAUCAUAAUUCAACUACUUUGAUUACAGAUAUAAAGUAACAUAUGAUAACAAAAUAAUCUCACAAUUCCCCCUUUUGAUCUCUUUUUUUAAGAGAUCACUUAUAACAUACACUCCAGCGUUACAAGAUCCAGCUUUUCUUGGUCCUGAGGCCCUCUGUCCCCCUUUAACGGGUCGACCAUAUGUGAAAUGACCUCUGUGUUUGCACAGUUCAGAUGCAAGAAAAAUUAGAUUUACAACCAUAACAGCAGUUACAGAUGACACUCCCAUCACUCCCCAAUUCUCCCACAGCUUUAUUUUGGUGCUCCAGUUUCCCACCCCCAUUUUGGUGCCACCUUAUACCUUUCAAAUGUACUCAGACUAGAACCUCUGUCUAAGGAGCUUUUAACCUUUAUUUUAUUGCUGCAGCUACCAGUAUCUUCCAGUUGGGUGAUUCUCAGCUUCUUUCUUCGACCUCUGGGGUUAGACCACCCUUUAGUCGGUGCACAGAUCAGGGGAUUAUUCUGCCCCGAUUUCAAACAAAGAUCUGUGUAUUCUGGGGUCACCGCCGUGUCCCCCUUUUUGCCAAGAGCCUCCCGAACCUCGUUGGUCUGGUGUUCCUAGAUUUUCGCCAACCCCUUCAUGGUUAUUGCUGUGUUUAUGGGAUCCAUCUUCUCGAGGAGCCCAAACGCCAUGACACUUGACCCCAGUUGCUGUCUCGGCAGUCCCUACAUCUGUCUCUGCUGGAGGAUCCUCGUAUCUCCGUAACCUCGUCUGGUGUCUGUUCCUUUCUCUGUAAGAGACAGAAAACCAAAACACCUCUCUCCCUAGCCUUGAUAAUCUAAUGUUGUUAUCCAUUGCUCCUCUAGUGAUUCAAAGUUGGUAUAAAAUAUUAUGUUCAGAACUCUGUGACCCAGGGACUCAUUCUAAUCAUUAUCUAUGUGUGUAAGCGUGUUUGCAUCCUCUGCACUCAAAGUCAAUACCUACAAUAUAUCAGUCCGGACAGUCACGCCGAACGAAGCUUAUGCCCUUCAAAAGACUGAGUGUCAACUCAUUAUGAGCACAUUUGCAAUGUGUUUAUGAAAGUGAUUAUAACCGCUUAGUUUAAUCAAGAAAUCAAAAACAAAAACAAAUUAACCAUUUUUUCUAACACAUUAUAAGCUUAAGUUUUACCAUACCUAAAUUAUUAAACACAAAUAAAGUCAUAAAAUGUUCAUAAAACCAUUGUUUGAUGUUAAAACUCAACUUCCACUCCCCCCUUUUUGACACACUCCCAUGUGUCAAUUCAUCGGAGCUAGAAAAUUAAAAGAGAAGGUUAGUGACAUCAUAUCUCAGAACUCAAAAUUAGCAACCAAAGGGUUAAAUCUGCAGUUCCACCCUCUCAUGUGAAGCUACCGUCUCCUCUUCAGUCUCUCUUAUCCUCCUGCUCCUGCAAAAACAAAACAAAACAAAGCGAAGCAUCCACCCUUCUCUUGCCGGCUGGGUGAAUUGUUUGUCAGCAUUUACUAAUCCUAAAGUUGGUGCAGUCAUUGUCUCAGUAUCAAGUCAGUCAAAACUUUUAGUCAGUCCAUCCCAGUCCAGUCACAUGCAUUCAUUCACACACAUUCAUACCAGAUGUUGCUGAUAAUGGAGUCUCACGCGUGACCUAUUCGAGCAUCCAUCACCAGCAAGAUGACGUCAUCGUUUUAAAAAGAAAACAAUUCUUUGUUUUUCGGACUGGAUUGACUCGCUGCAAUCAUUUUAGACUCAGGACUUCUCACGUGAUCAGUGUCCCAUAUAAGUGAAUUUCUCUCAAGCCAAUUACAAUCAUGGAGAAGCAAACUUUGCAACUGUUUACAGUAAUAAUAUUUUAUAGCGCUUUAAAUCUCAAUCUUUCAGGCCUGGUUUAAAGAGCUGAUUGUUAAAUCAUGAACUCACAAAAUAUCACCACCGGUGGAUCACCUCUCAGAUUUUCCUCAGUGCACUGUAACAAAAACAAAAACAGACGUAACCAACAAAAUACUAAUAAAAUAACACAAACUAGGGCCCGUUGCAGACAUGUCCAAACAUAAACUCAUCCCUCUCUCGCUUACGAGAAAGAACACAACCCAAAGCUCACUGAUAAAAUCAAGCUAGCGCUAAGCAAAACCAAAAAAUCAACCAGAAAUUCACAGGAACGUUUUGCUUCCUGUCGGGACAAUAUUGUGUGGGAAUGAGAACCUCAGGUACCGUAACACCUUUUGUUCCUCCUUGAAUUAAAUUUCAAUCACAGAAAAUGCAGUACUUCGACCUAAAACUUACACUAUUAAUUCAUCAUUUUCACUCUGUGCCUCUGCUCCUCAUCAGGCUGUGUGAAGCACAGCAAAGAAUUCAGUCAAGGCCUUGAACCAUAAACAGACAUCACACACAGACAUUGUUUUCAUAACCAAACUGUUUCAGACCUUACCCCUAAAAUCUACAUAAAUGUACUCUGGGUGACAUAAAACACAUUUUAAGUAAUCAACGAUAAUCAAUGGCCCCUCAUAAAAACUAUGUAUUGGGAUAUUUGUGUGCAGCAUUUUGCAUAUCAGCAUAAGCAUUUGUUAGCAAAGCAUUCUUCAUUGCGUCAGCGUGUAUGUGUGUGUGCGCGCAUCACUCUUCGUUGCACAAGCGUGUGCAUGUGUAUGUGUAUGUGUGUGUGUAUGUGUGUGGAUCACUUCUCAGUGAAUCAGCAUUCCAAUGUGCGUGUGUGUGUGUGUGUGUGUUCAUCACUUUCCUGUUCUGGUGUCUUGGGUAAACCACAGCCUGAAGCGUGCCCUGGGGUCCUGCCCUCCUCCUUUUCAGUCUGUUUGCGACCAUUGCUGCUGCUGCUGCUCAAAGUUCAGUCCGUCCUGGUUCUAACCCCAAUUGGGGCAGUCCUUUCUCCAAUGUCCAUGCUCACCGUAGGUGAAACCUGCAUCUUCUUCUCCUGUAUUUUGUCCAUUCUGAGGUGCCUUUUGACCUCAGUUACUCCUCCUGUCUCUGUCGCGCCCCUUUUUGCUGCCCGAUCAUGCGUGUUGGUCCAUCACUGUCCUGCACAGUGUUAAUGCAGAGUUAUCAAGAUCAGCAUCCUUUUGCUUGACCUUACUUUUCAUUCGGGCUUGGCGGGCGUCUCGUCACAGCUCUGUCAGCUGAAGCUGUCUGAGAAUUUUCCCC